rnacentral:rRNA from 1 species
UACGAAGGGUGCAAACGUUAUUCGGAAUAAUUGGGCGUAAAGGGUGCGCAGGCUGUAUGUUAAGUCAACCGUUAAAGUCCCCGGCCUAACUGGGGGUAUGCGGUAGAUACUGGCAAACUAGAGUGUGGGAGAGAGAAGUGGAAUUCUCGGAGUAGCGGUAAAAUGCGUAGAGAUCGGGAAGAAUACCUGUGGCGAAGGCGGCCAGCUGGGCCAGAUCCGACACUGAGGCGCGAAAGCGUGGGGAGCAAACAGG